rnacentral:rRNA from 1 species
UACGUAGGGGGCAAGCGUUGUCCGGAAUUAUUGGGCGUAAAGCGUGUGUAGGCGGGUCGUUAAGUGCCUUGUGAAAUCCCAUGGCUCAACCAUGGAACUGCUGGGCAUACUGGCGAUCUUGUGCAACCUAGGGGCGAGCGGAACAGAUGGUGGAGCGGUGAAAUGCGUAGAUAUCAUCUGGAACGCCAAUGGUGAAAACAGCUCGCUGGGGGUUUGCAGACGCUGAGACACGAAAGCCAGGGGAGCGAACGGG